CCUACGGGAGGCAGCAGUCGAGAAUCAUUCACAAUGGGGGAAACCCUGAUGGUGCGACGCCGCGUGGGGGAAUGAAGGUCUUCGGAUUGUAAACCCCUGUCAUGUGGGAGCAAAUUAAAAAGAUAGUACCACAAGAGGAAGAGACGGCUAACUCUGUGCCAGCAGCCGCGGUAAUACAGAGGUCUCAAGCGUUGUUCGGAAUCACUGGGCGUAAAGCGUGCGUAGGCUGUUUCGUAAGUCGUGUGUGAAAGGCGCGGGCUCAACCCGCGGACGGCACAUGAUACUGCGAGACGAGAGUAAGGGAGGGGGAACCGGAAUUCUCGGUGUAGCAGUGAAAUGCGUAGAUAUCGAGAGGAACACUCGUGGCGAAGGCGGGUUCCUGGACAUUAACUGACGCUGAGGCACGAAGGCCAGGGGAGCGAAAGGGAUUAGAUACCCGUGUAGUC
rnacentral:rRNA from 1 species